UUGUUUAGUUAAGAAGUGGGAGCGAUUCUCCCAAAUGUUCUAUAGGUUAACAAAAGAAUGUACUCUUUUUAGUUCAGUCAAUCAGAAGAAAUAAGUGUUUUCCUUUUAUAUCUAUUCACUUUUUCCACAUUUUCUUCCUAAAAAAGUAAUCUUGACAAAUUAAUAUUGAUUCGUUUGCAUGCAUACUGUUUUUGUUCAUACUUUGUGUGUCUGAGAACAAAAGAAACUACAGUGUUUCCUGCCAGCAGCCCUCUGUCGUCAGCUAUCAGUCUAAGUUUUGUGUCUACAAGAUACCGACAAGAUAUCAACCACUGUGAGAGUCGACGCUCCUUCUACUGCCGCCUUGUGCCUUCGCCCACUUCCUUCGAGCUUAAUUAAAACUUUCGACUUUGUCCCUCCCGAGUCUGAGUCUUUUCUAGGUUGUCCAUCAUACAAACACUGUAGACGGGGAAUGCAGGAAGCCUGAUGUGUUCUAUUCUUGUGAAAAAGUCAGAGCCUAAACUUUUAGGAUAAAAAUUCACAGAAUCUGAUUCUGAAGUUUCAGACUUUUUUUUUAGGAAAAUACAUUCCAGCACAACAAACAGUAAUGCUCAUUUUUAAUGAGGGUCCUCUC